CACAUUUUAAAAAUUAAAGCCAGAAGUGCUCCGGCUGCCACUGCAGAUCCAAGCUGGGCUUUCUCUUUCCUGCUGAUGAGUAUAAUUCUACUCUCCAUUGGCUAAGGAAACACUGGACCUUUCAGCUCUCCACCGAAGCUGGAAGCAGAUCGUCGCAGACCAACAAAUAUCUUUCCAGUACAAAUACCGUACCUGUUACUGUGCUGGGGCCUCAUUUGGUUCUUUUUUAGCAAAGGUGGAAAACCUUUGGCUUGUCCUGGCUAAUUGGGAGUUAAUUUGCUUUGCCUCAGUUGAAAAUCUUGGAUAUGAUGGCUUCAGUGCUUCCAAAGACACAAAAUUUCCACUCACCAUUCAGCAGAGUGAAGAGGAACUAUUAUGAUGGUCCAAGAACAAGGACAGAAUAUUCCAGCUCACAUUCCAGCAAGCCACCUAUCUCGGAGGUGAAGAGAGAAGAACGAGGAUGCAUCCAGAUGUGUCCUGGGUUGCAGACUUAGGAUGAACUGCUUAAUGCGAUAGCUAAUAAGAAAUAGUUGGCUUGAAAGGUGGUGCAAAGUUUCGGGGUUUGCUCUCCUCUAGGAGAAGACCAAAGAGAGGUGGAUUCCUUCCUCAGCACAGAUGAUCAAAGCUGGAUGAAACACGCAGUCAAAACUGCGAUUGGGGCAGCUAUCUCUAUGGAGUAUAAAACUGAUACUAGUACUAUUUUUGAAAGAAAAUGUUUAGAAUUAAUGUUCUCUUGUACUAAAAUGGAGAAAAGAAAUGUUGGGAAUAAUAAAACUGAAAGGGAAAGAUUAAUUGUGCGAUAUUAAUAUGAUUUAGAGCGCAUACAUUUUAGGUAAUGAAUAACACUUUGAUUAGGUGAUAUCUAUAUAAAGUACAAAGAAUUUUAAACUACCAACAAAUAUACUGUUAAGAUGAAUUUUCCCUCCCACUCCUGUUCUCUGGUUCUCUGGGUUUUUCCAUUCAGGAGGCAACGAAAUACAGUUAA